rnacentral:rRNA from 1 species
GGUGCCACCUGCUCAGUGACAAACUUAAACGGCCGCGGUAUUUUGACCGUGCAAAGGUAGCGCAAUCACUUGUCUUUUAAAUGAAGACCUGUAUGAAUGGUAAGACGAGGGCUUAACUGUCUCCCCCUUCAAGUCAAUGAAAUUGAUCUACCCGUGCAGAAGCGGGUAUAUCCCUACAAGACGAAGAGACCCUUUGGAGCUUAAGAUACUUAAUCAACUAUGUCAAUGACCUUAAACCAAAUAGUAACUGAUUUUUAUCUUCGGUUGGGGCGACCGCGGGAGAAAGCAAAGCUCCCAAGUGGACUGGGGCCUAACCCAAAAUUAAGAAAGACAUUUCUAAGUCGCAGAACAUCUGACCAACAAAGAUCCGGCCUCAGGCCGAUCCACGGACCAAGUUACCCUAGGGAUAACAGCGCAAUCCCCUUCAAGAGUCCAUAUCGACAAGGGGGUUUACGACCUCGAUGUUGGAUCAGGACAUCCUAAUGGUGCAGCCGCUAUUAAGGGUUCGUUUGUUCAACGAUUAAUAGUCCUACGUGAUCUGAGUUCAGACCGGGA